rnacentral:rRNA from 1 species
UACGUAGGUGGCAAGCGUUGUCCGGAAUCACUGGGCGUAAAGCGUGCGUAGGUGGCGUGUUAAGUGUGAUGUUAAAUCGUGGGGCUCAACCCUGUCGCUGCAUCACAUACUGGCACACUAGAGGACGGCAGAGGCAAGUGGAAUUUGUAGUGUAGCAGUGAAAUGCGUAGAGAUUACAAGGAACACCAAUGGCGAAGGCAGCUUGCUGGGCCAAUCCUGACACUGAGGUACGAAAGCGUGGGGAGCGAACAGG